rnacentral:rRNA from 1 species
CACGGAGGAUGCAAGCGUUAUCCGGAAUGAUUGGGCGUAAAGCGUCCGCAGGUGGCAAUGUAAGUCUGCUGUUAAAGAGUCUAGCUCAACUAGAUAAAAGCAGUGGAAACUACAUAGCUAGAGUACGUUCGGGGCAGAGGGAAUUCCUGGUGUAGCGGUGAAAUGCGUAGAGAUCAGGAAGAACACCGGUGGCGAAGGCGCUCUGCUAGGCCGUAACUGACACUGAGGGACGAAAGCUAGGGGAGCGAAUGGG